AGAUUUUGUGGGCUCACGAUACUCGUAGCUCACUUUCUCACUUCUCGAACCCCAGGCUAAAACUCUAGGGAACUCACCAGAAAUCUUGCACCCACUUUUCUUUCUUUUCUUUCUUUUUCUCUUGGAAGGAUAUGGACUUUCUUCUCACGCACAAAACUUCCUCACGCUCCAAAAUUUUUCUUCAAAAAUCUUCUUUCUAGACACCCCACUCUUCUCCUCCUUUUAUAACAACGUCAAACAUCAUAUCCAAAAGAAAGG
rnacentral:lncRNA from 1 species